rnacentral:rRNA from 1 species
GAGUGAAAUAGAACCUGAAACCGUGUGCUUACAAGUAGUCAGAGCCCGUUAAUGGGUGAUGGCGUGCCUUUUGUAGAAUGAACCGGCGAGUUACGAUUUGAUGCAAGGUUAAGCAGUAAAUGUGGAGCCGUAGCGAAAGCGAGUCUGAAUAGGGCGUUUAGUAUUUGGUCGUAGACCCGAAACCAGGUGAUCUACCCUUGGUCAGGUUGAAGUUCAGGUAACACUGAAUGGAGGACCGAACCGACUUACGUUGAAAAGUGAGCGGAUGAACUGAGGGUAGCGGAGAAAUUCCAAUCGAACCUGGAGAUAGCUGGUUCUCUCCGAAAUAGCUUUAGGGCUAGCCUCAAGUGAUGAUUAUUGGAGGUAGAGCACUGUUUGGACGAGGGGCCCCUCUCGGGUUACCGAAUUCAGACAAACUCCGAAUGCCAAUUAAUUUAACUUGGGAGUCAGAACAUGGGUGAUAAGGUCCGUGUUCGAAAGGGAAACAGCCCAGACCACCAGCUAAGGUCCCAAAAUAUAUGUUAAGUGGAAAAGGAUGUGGCGUUGCCCAGACAACUAGGAUGUUGGCUUAGAAGCAGCCAUCAUUUAAAGAGUGCGUAAUAGCUCACUAGUCGAGUGACACUGCGCCGAAAAUGUACCGGGGCUAAACAUAUUACCGAAGCUGUGGAUUGUCCUUUGGACAAUGGUAGGAGAGCGUUCUAAGGGCGUUGAAGCAUGAUCGUAAGGACAUGUGGAGCGCUUAGAAGUGAGAAUGCCGGUGUGAGUAGCGAAAGACGGGUGAGAAUCCCGUCCACCGAUUGACUAAGGUUUCCAGAGGAAGGCUCGUCCGCUCUGGGUUAGUCGGGUCCUAAGCUGAGGCCGACAGGCGUAGGCGAUGGAUAACAGGUUGAUAUUCCUGUACCACCUAUAAUCGUUUUAAUCGAUGGGGGGACGCAGUAGGAUAGGCGAAGCGUGCGAUUGGAUUGCACGUCUAAGCAGUAAGGCUGAGUAUUAGGCAAAUCCGGUACUCGUUAAGGCUGAGCUGUGAUGGGGAGAAGACAUUGAGUCUUCGAGUCGUUGAUUUCACACUGCCGAGAAAAGCCUCUAGAUAGAAAAUAGGUGCCCGUACCGCAAACCGACACAGGUAGUCAAGAUGAGAAUUCUAAGGUGAGCGAGCGAACUCUCGUUAAGGAACUCGGCAAAAUGACCCCGUAACUUCGGGAGAAGGGGUGCUCUUUAGGGUUAACGCCCAGAAGAGCCGCAGUGAAUAGGCCCAAGCGACUGUUUAUCAAAAACACAGGUCUCUGCUAAACCGUAAGGUGAUGUAUAGGGGCUGACGCCUGCCCGGUGCUGGAAGGUUAAGAGGAGUGGUUAGCUUCUGCGAAGCUACGAAUCGAAGCCCCAGUAAACGGCGGCCGUAACUAUAACGGUCCUAAGGUAGCGAAAUUCCUUGUCGGGUAAGUUCCGACCCGCACGAAAGGCGUAACGAUUUGGGCACUGUCUCAACGAGAGACUCGGUGAAAUCAUAGUACCUGUGAAGAUGCAGGUUACCCG